GAAGCAGGAGUGAGAUCAGACUCCAUGUUUUGGAGAAAAAGCCAUGAGCUUCCAUGAGCAUGGAUACCAUUGAGGAUUCUGUCUAGAUUCCAAAGAAUGCUCAAGAGUGAUGAGAAAACUAAGGCAGGGGACAGCACACAGUGCUUAUGCUGGUACCUGCAUUUUUUUGGGUCCAGUUUACCAGACACCUCCUUAUGUAAGACUCCAGACUGUGGACCCCCAAAUGCAUAAAACCUACCCAGACCAGGAGGGAUGCCACAGCAGCA